CCUACGGGAGGCAGCAGUGAGGAAUAUUGGUCAAUGGACGAGAGUCUGAACCAGCCAAGUAGCGUGAAGGAUGACUGCCCUAUGGGUUGUAAACUUCUUUUAUAUGGGAAUAAAAUGUUCCACGUGUGGGACUUUGUAUGUACCAUAUGAAUAAGGAUCGGCUAACUCCGUGCCAGCAGCCGCGGUAAUACGGAGGAUCCGAGCGUUAUCCGGAUUUAUUGGGUUUAAAGGGUGCGUAGGUGGAUUGUUAAGUCAGUUGUGAAAGUUUGCGGCGCAACCGUAAAAUUGCAGUUGAAACUGGCAGUCUUGAGUACAGUAGAGGUGGGCGGAAUUCGUGGUGUAGCGGUGAAAUGCAUAGAUAUCACGAAGAACUCCGAUUGCGAAGGCAGCUCACUGGACUGCAACUGACACUGAGGCUCGAAAGUGUGGGUAUCAAACAGGAUUAGAUACCCCGGUAGUC
rnacentral:rRNA from 1 species